CACCGGGACGGCCCGGGCGGCGUCACUACGGGCCGCGGCGAGGGACAAGCGCGGGCGGGGCCGAGCGGGUGUCGAUCCGGCCGCGGCCGGGAGAGGGCGCGGUGUCCCCGCGGGUGCGGCGGGCCUUCGAUGUGGGCCGUGGAACGUCGUGAUCCACCCGAGCCCCCGGCUGUGGAUGAGGAAACACAUUGUGAUGGCUGAGCUGAGAAGACAUUUUAAACAGUCCACUAAGGCAGAUUUUGCUUCAAAAGUGUGAAACUGCCUUCUCCAGCCUUGAAAUUUAGAAGAAAACAGAGUUCUUUCCCCAGGAGAUAUUUCUUAUAAAUCUUACAGCUUAGUUCACAACAAAACGGGAAGCACAUGGUAGCAGCUGCCACAAUGUUAAUAUCCACAAAAAAAGAUACUAAAACCUCUGAAUAUCCUGGGAAAAUAUGCCUAUUUAAUCCUGGUAGUUCAAGUCACCUCCCUUCAGCACUUCUACUUAACCACUGAGAGGGGUCUUCCUGGAAAGCCCAAAACACUCAGGAUGCAUUGUGCCACGAGUAGAAGUGUUAAAGAGUGCAGCUCUGGCCUGCUUUGUGUGCCUGCCUGGGAAGAAGUCCUGCUCCUGUCAGGUGUCUUGGGAGGUUUUUUAAAAUAUGCUGUCAUGAAGAAUUAGUCACAAUUUCACCUUGCACAUAUUGCAAACUCUCCUUUCAGUGUGUGGCUUGGUGCCAUAGAGGAAGAUGUGUGGACACUGUAGAGGACAGCAGUGUAGCCUGGAGUAUGUAAAGGAGCCAAACUAGAGCUAAUGUUUUGCAACAUGCAUGGAAGGAUCUCUACUGAGACCAUGAUAUACUGAGUAUUGCUGACAGCAAAUGAUUUCGAAGUGCUGCUGGUGCUGCUGGUUCUCCACCUGUAGCUGAGCUGCCUUGUGUUUUGACUGUUCCAACAAUAUAAACAGGCAUUCAUUCUGUGUAUGAAAUGCCAGUAGCUCUUCUUCCAAAAGUUUGUUUUUCCAUAGCAUUUUUCCAUCUGUGUUUUCAAAAUAAAUGAAGGCAUCCAACCUUGUUUUAAAGUUACUUGCAGAGAGACUAACCAGAAAAGCUUCUCUGCAAUGAAAGAAUGGAAAUACAGAUCAAAGAAAGAGUGUGGUGGGGUGGUGGUUUGUAUGUCUAGGAAAGAAAUCUAAGCUUCUUGAGUUUUAACUGCCAAGAAAGAAGAGACACUGUGACCUUUCUGUUAGGACUUCUUGCUCUCAACUGAUCUCUGUUCAUAGAGUUCACAGAGCUGAAGCAGAGGAAGAAGAGUGGCAAAUGUUCUUCAUGCCUUAUAUUUAAAGUAACAGGGUUUUUUUCCCUAGACCUGAUGCUUCCUUCCAUCUCUUGCAUCAGCUAGUCAAUAUAAAAACAUAUUAUUUUUGUGUGUGUUGUAAGAAUUGUUUUUCUUAUGGGUAGCACUGUAAGAACACUCAAAAAGUUUCCAGGAAAUCCCUCCCUCCAGAAAAACAUAACUUAUGCAUACAAUGAGUUCUACCGGUCUGUGAUAUUCCUGGGGAAAUGCAGUAGAAAUUUCCAGUGUCUGCUUUUGACAUUCCCAUCUGAGUAGGGAACUUUAUUAGUUAUUAAUGUAACUGGCAGGGUUGUGUAGAAAGGUAUGAGGUUUUGAUCAUUUACUUUGGUUUGGUUCCAUUUGUUCACAAGGGUUACUGUUGUGCACUGUGGAUUUAAUCUGACUUUUCUAUUGGUUUUAUUCUUUUAUGAAUUAGCUGUUUUUUUGUUGCAGUAUCAGCUGUUCUGUAACUUUUAAGGACAUUGGAAUGAAAUUAAAUAAAAAUAGGUGUUCUCUUCUUUAAUAACAUUCACUUUUUGGAAUUUACUGUCUUACAGAAUUGCAUCUGUAUUUCUUACAGGGUACAGGUCCUAGAACAUCCUUUCUCUCAAAUAUAUACAAUUUUUCUUCCCUUCAACCUCCCUUUAGAUUCAGACAUACCCAUAUUUAUUUUCAAUUAUACCUGUAAUUGAUAGUUCUCUUCAUGAUUGAGAUUUCUUGUCACUUUUUUCUUAUGAAAGCCUGAUUUUAGAGGCUUUUGUUUAAGUGGGAUGAUUAUGGCGCAAGCUGACCUCGGUGGUGUAAGGUGAAUGUAAAAGCUGAACUUUGCACUUAUGAGCUCACAAGACAAAUCUGUGACAGCAUGUCUGGUUUUGUAGCCUUUAUAAAUAUUAGGAAAUUAUAUGUGGCAGCAAUAGUAAAAGGGUGUUGUCAAGAUUGUCCCCCAGCUCAUUUGCUUAAAUGCAUGCUAUGAAACAGCUGUGGCAGAACUACAGGAGGCAAAUGCUGUGGGUUUUGAACCAAUUUCUGAUUUGAGGUGAUCUGGUAAAUGGCUUUCAGUUCUUGGGGUUAGUAGUGCUGGUGAGCUGCAAGAGCUAUAGAAAUGCAGUUCUGUAACCUGGCUUGCCUUCACUUUGCACAUGCACAUUUUUGGCUUGGUCGCAGAGUACAGAUAAUGUCAAAUUAGGAACUUUAAACAAUAAAUAUGUUUAAUGAUC